GACGACACACAUCACGUGUAUCACGACAUCACGACGUACGCGUGACACUGUUUGGUUGACGUACRCAUUGGUUGUAUCGGAGGAAAUAUGGAACUUUGCAUCGGAACAAAGCUACUUUGAAACAUUUAGAAGGCUAAACUAUAUCUUAAAUUGUCAGUAAGUUAGAUACAGAAGUAAAAAAGGACCAGAAAGCCAAUUCGUGAGCGAAUGUUGACCUACUUCUGAAUGUUGUGAACUCCAUUUUCCACGUGAGAACUGUCUCGUUCACAACACUCGAAAGGAGGACUUCGAAGAAGUUAACCUUAAUAGAUGAAACAUUUGUUAUUAAAAAAUGUCUUACACUGAGGGAACAUGGAGCAGUACACCCUAAAUAAGAUGUCCACCUCUCCCAGGCUUGUUCCCGGUGGAAAUCACACAGAUACAUACUAGUACGUGGUCAUGGUACUUCUUUUUUGCAGCAACAUUGCGGUCUUUCCSAUGCUGACACUCCAUCAGUUUCUCGCCCAGUAUUAUGUAAGGCCAUAAAUCUCAAAUGAGCUGAAUGCAAUUCAAAAGUAGAGAUCAAAUUAUAGACUGUAGUUAUGGAUUUGACACAUGUAUUAUAUUCAAAGCCUUAGAAUCUUAAAAUAAUAUUCAAAUAUUUAAUAUUUAAGAUUAAUUAAGCUUUUAACUUAUAUGUCAGCARCGAAAAUAAUAUAAAGUCAGGGUAGCUGUAUUUUCGCUCAUAUAAUAAAUAUUGAUUUAACCUUUCAUUCAUGAGUAAAUGAAUGAAUGAGUGAAGGGAUAAAUGAAUUUCWAAUUGGAUUCAAUGGGCAUGAAUUAGGCUUUGCUGACAUACAAGUUAAGUUUUGCCAAUGAGCAGAAAACUGAUUUUAAAAGGACAAUCGAACGAAAGUGACAUAUCAAAAAGAUAAUGUACUUCUCAAAUAGAGAAAUAA